AUUGAACGCUGGCGGCAGGCCUAACACAUGCAAGUCGAGCGGCAGCGGGAAAGUAGCUUGCUACUUUUGCCGGCGAGCGGCGGACGGGUGAGUAAUGCCUGGGAAAUUGCCCGGUCGAGGGGGAUAACAGUUGGAAACGACUGCUAAUACCGCAUACGCCCUACGGGGGAAAGCAGGGGACCUUCGGGCCUUGCGCGAUUGGAUAUGCCCAGGUGGGAUUAGCUAGUUGGUGAGGUAAUGGCUCACCAAGGCGACGAUCCCUAGCUGGUCUGAGAGGAUGAUCAGCCACACUGGAACUGAGACACGGUCCAGACUCCUACGGGAGGCAGCAGUGGGGAAUAUUGCACAAUGGGGGAAACCCUGAUGCAGCCAUGCCGCGUGUGUGAAGAAGGCCUUCGGGUUGUAAAGCACUUUCAGCGAGGAGGAAAGGUUGAUGCCUAAUAUGUAUCAACUGUGACGUUACUCGCAGAAGAAGCACCGGCUAACUCCGUGCCAGCCGCCGCGGUAAGAC
rnacentral:rRNA from 1 species